UGAGCAAUCUGCCCUUCUCUUCGGAAUAAGCGUUGGAAACGACGUCUAAUGCCGAAUACGACCUCCUUUCGCAUGAUCGGAGGUGGAAAGCUCCGGCGGAGAAGGAUGAGCUCGCGGCCUAUCAGCUAGUUGGUGUGGGUAAUGGCCCACCAAGGCGACGACGGGUAGCCGGCCUGAGAGGGUGACCGGCCACACGUGGGACUGAGACACGGCCCAGACCUCCGUACGGGAGNAGCG
rnacentral:rRNA from 1 species